rnacentral:lncRNA from 1 species
GCCGGAACCCUAGAACCGGGCCAGUCAGGUUUCGCCACGUGGCGAGUUUUUGGUUUUAUUUUUUAUUUUUUUUAUUCGGCCGAAGUGGAUAAUGCACUUUUGCAGAAAAGCCCCUACAACUUCAAAACCCCAUAUCUUUUAAACCGUUUGUCCAAAAUUUACGAUCCACACCUAUCUGGAAUCGUCAUAACGUGUACAAUAUUUUGGAACUGUUUAUUUUCAGUUUUGAAUAACUUAGACAGUAGCUAUUUACAGAAUGGUGGUUUAUGGUUUAAUUUUUGAAUGAAUUGUUCCAAAAUAGUUUUGAACAUGUUAUCUUGCUGUAAAAUUAUUUAAACUCGUUCUCUAUCCAUUGGGACCAGAAAAGAAAUUAUUUUGUGUAUAAUCAUGGCAUGCAAGUUAAAUAUCCAUGUUUCUUGCAUAUUAAUUACCACUUUGAUGUUGUAUAAUCUGUCCAAACCAUUUGAAAAACUUUUCAAAACAGAAACGAAGCUUCUUACCUUAGAAGUAACCUUUGUGUGCAUCAGCAUAGCAUAUGCAUCAUGACAUGAUUUUGUAUUGAGUGUUGUGUUUAUUGUGUGUAUUCCUUUUAUUUUAGAUUUUGUGGAGUGUAAUCAUUGUUGUUGCGAAGAGUGCGAGAACUACCACAACCUUGGACAAGGCAAGUUCACUUUGAUCAUUCUCCUAAAUAUUUUACUAUGCACU